rnacentral:rRNA from 1 species
UACGGAGGGUGCAAGCGUUAUCCGGAUUCACUGGGUUUAAAGGGUGCGUAGGUGGGCAAGUUAGUCAGUGGUGAAAUCUCCGGGCUUAACCCGGAAACUGCCAUUGAUACUAUUUGUCUUGAAUACUGUGGAGGUCAGCGGAAUAUGUCAUGUAGCGGUGAAAUGCUUAGAUAUGACAUAGAACACCAAUUGCGAAGGCAGCUGGCUACACAAAUAUUGACACUGAGGCACGAAAGCGUGGGGAUCAAACAGG